rnacentral:rRNA from 1 species
CUACGUGCCAGCAGCCGCGGUAAUACGGAAGGUCCAGGCGUUAUCCGGAUUUAUUGGGUUUAAAGGGAGCGUAGGCCGUGGAUUAAGCGUGUUGUGAAAUGUAGACGCUCAACGUCUGAAUUGCAGCGCGAACUGGUUCACUUGAGUAUGCACAACGUAGGCGGAAUUCGUCGUGUAGCGGUGAAAUGCUUAGAUAUGACGAAGAACUCCGAUUGCGAAGGCAGCUUACGGGAGCACAACUGACGCUGAAGCUCGAAGGUGCGGGUAUCAAACAGGAUUAGAUACCCUGGUAGUCCGCACAGUAAACGAUGGAUGCCCGUUGUUAGUUCACUUAUGAAUUAGCGACCAAGCGAAAGCAUUAAGCAUCCCACCUGGGGAGUACGCCGGCAACGGUGAAACUCAAAGGAAUUGACGGGGGCCCGCACAAGCGGAGGAACAUGUGGUUUAAUUCGAUGAUACGCGAGGAACCUUACCCGGGCUUGAAUUGCAGACGAACGAUUCAGAGA